CCACACUUAAAAGAAUACAGUAAGCUUAACAGUUUCUCAAUAUUUUUCUAUAUCCUCAUAAAAACUGUUAUAUUGGAACAACUAUGUUUUUCUCUUUUUCCAGUUGUUCCCAAUACUUCUCGUUUUCCUGUGUAACCACUAAUAUUUUCCUCGUCUCCUAUAAAAUAAAAAAAGGAGGUACAACUCCUCCCAACACUAUCGGUGACCAUCUCAACUAUCACUUUUCAGUUACACUUUGUCUCAUACUCUUGUAGGAUCUGCCUUUCAUAUAGGUAUUAGGAAAGAUAUAUUGGUAUACUGUUAUUUGAGCCACCCCGAAUAUAUGUAUAUUGAAAAAAAAAAGAUUAUUGGAAAAGCGCUGAAGAUGCUGUCAGUGAAAGAAAAACAAAACAUUGGAAAAGGGGGUUCAUUCCUUCCGCCUUUGUCGUUGUGACGUUGUCUGAUAGCCGAACUGUUGAGAUUUGGGUUACUAAAAAUGCCAGAUCAGCAGCUAAACCCAGGUAAUGCGGCAACUAAACAAUUCAAAAAGUGGAUACGUGG
rnacentral:lncRNA from 1 species